UGCCAGACUCCUACGGGAGGCAGCAGUGGGGAAUAUUGCACAAUGGGGGGAACCCUGAUGCAGCGACGCCGCGUGGGUGAAGGAGUACUUCGGUACGUAAAGCCCUAUCAGCAGGAAAGAAAAUGACGGUACCUGACUAAGAAGCCCCGGCUAACUACGUGCCAGCAGCCGCGGUAAUACGUAGGGGGCAAGCGUUAUCCGGAUUUACUGGGUGUAAAGGGAGCGUAGACGGCAGUGCAAGUCCGGAGUGAAAGCCCGGGGCUCAACCCUGGGACUGCUCUGGAAACUGUAAAGCUGGAGUGCGGGAGGGGCAGGCGGAAUUCCUGGUGUAGCGGUGAAAUGCGUAGAUAUCAGGAGGAACACCGGCGGCGAAGGCGGCCUGCUGGACCGUAACUGACGUUGAGGCUCGAAAGCGUGGGGAGCGAACAGGAUUAGAUACCCGGUAGG
rnacentral:rRNA from 1 species